rnacentral:lncRNA from 1 species
GGGAAGACCCAAUGGGGACAAUACUGCUUGAUCAAGGCAAGUAUCCAAAGGGGACAAGACUAUCAAUACCACAAAGAGGGGAUUACAUCUACCGGUUUGUAGGCAGAAAACCACAGAAAAGUAACCAGUCAUCGACCAGGAUGAGCACAAAGGGUUAACUCUGCUAGGGGAUGAAAGUGGGAUUUUACAACUACCAGUUAGUAGGUAGAAAACCACAAAGAUAGGACUUACAACUACCGGUUCGUUGGUAGAAGCCAAAAAUUCCGCUGAGGAUGAGAUGAAUGAGUGCCGGUUAGUGAGCAACCAUUCAUUUAUGCCCCAGAGAAGUACAAGAGACAGCGAACAAGAAGCCAAUUUAGGAUCGAUCCAAGAAGGCAAACUGAAUCAAGACUCAUCCUAAUGAGGAAAGAACUCAAUAGGGAAAACCCA